CUUUCUUUCACCGAAUGCUUGCAUUCACCGAAAGAAGCUUAGUGGCGAACGGGUGAGUAACACGUAGGCAACCUGCCCAAAAGAGGGGGAUAACACUUGGAAACAGGUGCUAAUACCGCAUAACCAUGAACACCGCAUGAUGUUCAUGUAAAAGACGGCUUUUACUGUCACUUUUGGAUGGGCCUGCGGCGUAUUAACUUGUUGGUGGGGUAACGGCCUACCAAGGUGAUGAUACGUAGCCGAACUGAGAGGUUGAUCGGCCACAUUGGGACUGAGACACGGCCCAAACUCCUACGGGAGGCAGCAGUAGGGAAUCUUCCACAAUGGACGAAAGUCUGAUGGAGCAACGCCGCGUGAAUGAAGAAGGCCCUCGGGUCGUAAAAUUCUGUUGUCAGAGAAGAACGUGCGUGAGAGUAACUGUUCACGUAUUGACGGUAUCUGACCAGAAAGCCACGGCUAACUACGUGCCAGCAGCCGCGGUAAUACGUAGGUGGCGAGCGUUGUCCGGAUUUAUUGGGCGUAAAGGGAACGCAGGCGGUCUUUUAAGUCUGAUGUGAAAGCCUUCGGCUUAACCGAAGUAGUGCAUUGGAAACUGGAAGACUUGAGUGCAGAAGAGGAGAGUGGAACUCCAUGUGUAGCGGUGAAAUGCGUAGAUAUAUGGAAGAACACCAGUGGCGAAAGCGGCUCUCUGGUCUGUAACUGACGCUGAGGUUCGAAAGCGUGGGUAGCAAACAGGAUUAGAUACCCUGGUAGUCCACGCCGUAAACGAUGAGUGCUAAGUGUUGGAGGGUUUCCGCCCUUCAGUGCUGCAGCUAACGCAUUAAGCACUCCGCCUGGGGAGUACGGUCGCAAGACUGAAACUCAAAGGAAUUGACGGGGGCCCGCACAAGCGGUGGAGCAUGUGGUUUAAUUCGAAGCAACGCGAAGAACCUUACCAGGUCUUGACAUCUUCUGACAAUUCCAGAGAUGGAACGUUCCCUUCGGGGACAGAAUGACAGGUGGUGCAUGGUUGUCGUCAGCUCGUGUCGUGAGAUGUUGGGUUAAGUCCCGCAACGAGCGCAACCCUUAUUGUCAGUUGCCAUCAUUAAGUUGGGCACUCUGGCGAGACUGCCGGUGACAAACCGGAGGAAGGUGGGGAUGACGUCAAAUCAUCAUGCCCCUUAUGACCUGGGCUACACACGUGCUACAAUGGACGGUACAACGAGUCGCUAACUCGCGAGGGCAAGCUAAUCUCUUAAAGCCGUUCUCAGUUCGGAUUGCAGGCUGCAACUCGCCUGCAUGAAGUCGGAAUCGCUAGUAAUCGCGAAUCAGCAUGUCGCGGUGAAUACGUUCCCGGGCCUUGUACACACCGCCCGUCACACCAUGAGAGUUUUUAACACCCAAAGUCGGUGGGGUAACCUUUUGGAGCCAGCCGCCUAAGGUGGGACAGAUGAUUGGGGUGAAGUCGUAACAAGGUA
rnacentral:rRNA from 1 species